CUCCUGCCUUGGAGAACAGAGAAAGAAUCCUCAAACCCUCAGGAUUUGGGGUUCUCCAAAAAUAUUCAAACCCUCAAACCACCUCUAUUUGAGGUCCCCAAGCAAAACCCUCUGGAUUUAAGGUCCCCAAAAAGACUCAAAGCCUCAAACCAGCCAGAUCUGAGGUUCUCCUAAAAGAUUCCAACCCUCAAACCACCUGGAUUUGAGGUUCUCCUAAAAGAUUUAAACCCUCAAACCACCUGGAUCUGAGGU